rnacentral:rRNA from 1 species
GACGAACGCUGGCGGCGUGCUUAACACAUGCAAGUCGAACGGAAAGACCCGGAUUUUGUGGCGUUCUCGAGUGGCGAAGGGGGGAGUAAAACAUGAGUAUCAUCCCCUUAUCUGUGUGAUAACUUCUGGAAACUCGGGCUAAUACAGCGUAGAAGAUCCUGCUGCGCAGUGGGGGAUAGUAAAAUUCGGCCGUUGGGGAUGGACUGGAAGCUUAUCAGCUUGUUUGUGGGGUAGUGGCUUACCAAGGCUUUGACGGGUAGCCGGCCUGAGAGCGUGACCGGCGACACUGGGACUGAGAGACGGCCCAGAAUCGUACGGGACGCAGCAGUGGAGAAUAUGGCGGAGUGGGCCGAAGUCAGAUGCAGCAACGUCGCGUGCGGGAUGACGGCCUUCGGGUUGUAAACCGCUUUCUCCUGUGAUGAAGCGUGAGUGACGGUAAUUGGUAAAAAAGCACCGGCUAACUACGUG